rnacentral:piRNA from 1 species
GAGGAGCUACCUACUCCAGGGCCUCUU